rnacentral:rRNA from 1 species
GAUGAACGCUAGCGGCAGGCCUAAUACAUGCAAGUCGAGGGGCAGCAGGAAUUGCAAUAUUCGCUGGCGACCGGCGCACGGGUGCGUAACACGUAUACAAUCUGCCUUUAACAGGGGGAUAGCCCGGAGAAAUCCGGAUUAAUACCCCAUAACAGUGAUCUUGGCAUCAAGGACACUUAAAAGCUCCGGCGGUUAAAGAUGAGUAUGCGUCUGAUUAGCUAGUUGGUGAGGUAACGGCUCACCAAGGCGACGAUCAGUAGGGGAUCUGAGAGGAUUAACCCCCACACGGAUACUGAGACACGGAUCCGACUCCUACGGGAGGCAGCAGUAAGGAAUAUUGGACAAUGCCCGAAAGGGUGAUCCAGCCAUGCCGCGUGCAGGAAGACGGCCCUAUGGGUUGUAAACUGCUUUUACACCGGAGAAAACCCCACUACGUGUAGUGGGCUGAUAGUAUGGUGAGAAUAAGCAUCGGCUAACUCUGUGCCAGCAGCCGCAGUAA